UACGUAGGGGGGCAAGCGUUGUCCGGAUUUAUUGGGCGUAAAGAGCGUGUAGGCGGCCAGGUAGGUCUGCUGUGAAAACUCGAGGCUCAACCUCGAGACGUCGGCGGAAACCGUAAAGCUAGAGUCCGGAAGAGGAGAGUGGAAUUCCUGGUGUAGCGGUGAAAUGCGCAGAUAUCAGGAGGAACACCCGUGGCGAAAGCGGCUCUCUGGGACGGUACUGACGCUGAGACGCGAAAAGCGUGGGGGAGCAAACAGG
rnacentral:rRNA from 1 species